rnacentral:lncRNA from 1 species
UAUAUGAAGAAAAAAUGGAUAGUUUAAAACAUAUAUUUUUAAAAUUUUACAGCAGAAUAACAAAAGAUUAAAUAUUUUAAUCUUCUAAAUAUAUCUUAGAUCAGAUCUAAACUAUCAUUAAGGAUCUAUGAUAAGAAAAAUUUAUAUAUAAAAUCUGAAAUAAAAUAAAAAACUGCAUCGAUGACAUCGAUGCCUUGAAUUUGAUCUAACCUUCAGAUU